GGGAGUGAGAAGUGAUGCCCAUGCUUAUUUUGCUUUUGCCACCGUCAAGGGGAGUAAGGACUAAGGAGCAGCAUUGACCUGUCCACAGCCUACAAGAGUGUGAUGCGCGUAAUACCCAAACUUUCACCAAAAUAGGGGAGGCUGUUGUUCUUGUCUUGAUUGAAACUUAAAAGGUUGUUUCUCAUUCACCAGUGGAUUUUUUUUUUUCUUUUUUGAAUUUUCUGAUGGCUGUACUGUACACUGGGAAAAUUAGGAUCUAGGUUCACUAAUCAAACGGUUUAGGUUUUGAUGAUAAAAUGCAAACAUAGGCAUAAUAAACUUACCACCUUCACUUUUUGACUACAAGUUCCAAAUUCUGAUGGCUCCUCGCAUUGCAAAGGUAGGGGGAAGGUUAUUGUACGCGGCCUCCCCCUUGCAUAUGCAAAGAGACUGCUUCUGGAUUCGAACCCAUGACCGACCAGUCACAAUUGGCAACUUUAGGGUUGCGCUAGGGCUCGCCCUCACACCAGAUGGAAGAAGUUUGUCUGAAUAGUGAGCCACUUUUUGAUGAACGCAAUGAGGUUGAUGUUGAGGGGAACUCUUCUAUCGCAGAACAUGAUCUUGAAUCUUUAAACUCACAAACGAAUAACUCUCCACUUCCAACUGUGGGUCUGGAGUUUGAUUCCUUUGAUGAAGUUUACAACUUCUACAAUAUCUAUGCAAAGGAAUAAGGCUUUGGUAUCAGAGUGAGCAAUUCAUGGUUUAGAUCGGAAAAAAAAAGAGUGCUAUAGAGCAAAACUUAGCUGCAGUAGUGCUGGUUUUAAGAAAAAAAGUGAAGCCAAUAAUCCAAGACCAAAAACAAGAACUGGUUGUCCUGCAAUGAUAGUGAUUAGAAUGGUUGAGUCCAAGAGAUGGAGAAUAGUGGAAGUUGAGCUUCAACACGACCAUCAAGUGAGUCCACAGAGCAAACGGUUUUACAAGUCACAUAAGGAAAUGAUUCUUGAAGCCAGCAAAUCACGACCACUGCCAGAGCCUGUAACAGAAGUACACACCAUUAGGUUGUAUAAACCACUUUCAUGGAUGUUGAUUACAAUGGUUACUCAAAUUUUGAAGAAAGUCAUGACACCAAUUUUGAUAAAUUGAAAUAUUUGGAACAUAGAGAAGGGGAUGGCAGAGCUAUAUAUAAUUAUUUUUGCCGGAUGAAGUUGACCGAUCCAAAUUUAUUUUACUUGUUUGAUAUUGAUGAUGAUGGGCAUCUAAAAAAUGUUUUCUGGGCUGAUUCCAGGCCAAGGAUUGCUUAUAAUUACUUUAAUGACACAGUUACAAUAGACACAAAUUGUUUGGCAAACAAAUAUGAGAUCCCUUUGAUGUCAUUUGUUGGUAUAAACCAUCAUGGACAUUCUGUUCUAUUGGGAUGUGGCUUCCUUGGACAUGAAUCAGUGGAUUAUUUUGUAUGGAUAUUCAAGGCAUGGCUUCAGUGUAUGCUUGGUCGUCCUCCACAUGUUAUUACUGACCAGUGCAAGCCAUUGCAAAUUGCAGUUGCUCGGGUUUUCCCUCAUGCUCGUCAUUGUUAUUCUUUGCAGUAUAUCAUGCAAAGAGUUCCAGAAAAGUUGGGAGGGUUGCAAGGAUAUGGACCAAUCAGAAGAAAGCUGUAUAAUGCUGUCUAUGAGUCAUUAAAGAUAGUUGAGUUUGAAUCUUCUUGGGCUGAUAUGAUUAAAUGUCAUGGACUGGUAGAUAACAAGUGGCUUCAGACAUUGUAUAAAGAUAGGCAUCUAUGGGUUCCUGUUUAUCUAAAAGAUGCUUUUUUUAUAGGACUGAUCCCAACUAAAGAAAACAGGGCCUUACGACGUUUUUGAUGGAUAUGUGCAUAAAUACACAUCCUUUAAGGAAUUUCUUGACAAGUAUGACUUGGCUCUGCACAGGAAGCACUUGAAAGAAGCCAUGGCGGAUUUGGAGUCUAGAAAAGUAAGCUUUGAAUUGAAAACGAGAUGUAAUUUUGAGGUCCAGCUUGCAAAGGGGUUUACAAAAGAAAUCUUUCAAAAGUUUCAAUCUGAGGUUGAUGGCAUGUACUCUUGCUUCAACACAAGACAGGUAAGUGUCAAUGGAUCUAUAAUAACAUACAUUGUGAAAGAAAGUGUUGAAGUUGAGGGGAAUGAGAAGGGAGUUAAAAGUUUUGAAGACUUAUACGAGACUACAGAAUUGGAUAUUCGUUGCAUUUGCAGUUUGUUCAAUUACAAAGGAUAUCUGUGCAAGCAUGCAUUGAAUGUUCUCAAUUAUAACAGCAUUGAGGAAAUCCCAUCUCAGUACAUCCUGAACCGUUGGAGAAGGGAUUUCAAGCAAACGUUUAAUCAAUUCCAUGUCUCUGAUAACAUUGAUACCUACAACCCUGUGGACUUGUAUACUCAUCUGUUCAACAGUGCUCUUCCAGUGUUAGAAGUAGGGGCACAGUCACGGGAACAUUAUAUGGUUGCUGUAUAAGAACUGGAGGAGUUGUUAGGCAAGUUUGAUAUAGAGGACUAUAACUUAUUGUAAACAAUUAAUACAAGAUCCCCAUCCCCUAGUUAUAAUGAUGUUACUUCUAAUUGACUGUUUAUAACUCUCCCGUGGUUGGUUUAUUCCAAGUUUUUGUGCUACAGGUGAUUGUAUAAAACGAAAUGCCAGUGGCUCAGUGCCAAUUACAUAACAUUUUUCUUUUAAAUGAUUUGGACUGUGUUGAUACUAAUACAUUUGCAAGAGUUCUAGCUUUUCACCUUC